rnacentral:misc_RNA from 1 species
UUGCCUCCUCAAGUAUUGGCACAAGAGCAACAUCAUAAGCCUUGGCCGUCUGCGGGUUUCCUGUAUUGCAUACCUACACGAAGGAAUUCGGGUGUCCCAACGUUUAACGUUCUCCUAGUGCCGCCCCCGCAAGGGCGCAGCGUGAGGUGAACCGCGAAGGCAAAUUCGUGUUCCAAGACAAUCGUAGCACSCGUUGUUGUUUUGGCCCACGAAGUGCAGCCUGAGCUCUCGGAUGCGGAAUACCAUGAGGGCAGGAGGUCGCGGCCUCCGUGUGCCCACGCUCAGCGUUAAUCGCUCGCAUCGAACGAAUCCCG